rnacentral:rRNA from 1 species
AGAGUUUGAUCCUGGCUCAGGAUGAACGCUGGCGGCGUGCUUAACACAUGCAAGUCGAACGGUGAAGCCAAGCUUGCUUGGUGGAUCAGUGGCGAACGGGUGAGUAACACGUGAGCAACCUGCCCUGGACUCUGGGAUAAGCGCUGGAAACGGCGUCUAAUACUGGAUAUGAGACGUGAUCGCAUGGUCGUGUUUGGAAAGAUUUUUCGGUCUGGGAUGGGCUCGCGGCCUAUCAGCUUGUUGGUGAGGUAAUGGCUCACCAAGGCGUCGACGGGUAGCCGGCCUGAGAGGGUGACCGGCCACACUGGGACUGAGACACGGCCCAGACUCCUACGGGAGGCAGCAGUGGGGAAUAUUGCACAAUGGGCGGAAGCCUGAUGCAGCAACGCCGCGUGAGGGAUGACGGCCUUCGGGUUGUAAACCUCUUUUAGCAGGGAAGAAGCGAAAGUGACGGUACCUGCA